UGAAGGAAGCCUUGUAGUACAUUGCAUGC
rnacentral:piRNA from 1 species